rnacentral:rRNA from 1 species
UACGGAGGGGGCUAGCGUUGUUCGGAAUUACUGGGCGUAAAGCGCACGUAGGCGGCUUUGUAAGUUAGAGGUGAAAGCCCAGAGCUCAACUCUGGAAUUGCCUUUAAGACUGCAUCGCUUGAACAUCGGAGAGGUAAGUGGAAUUCCGAGUGUAGAGGUGAAAUUCGUAGAUAUUCGGAAGAACACCAGUGGCGAAGGCGACUUACUGGACACAUAUUGACGCUGAGGUGCGAAAGCGUGGGGAGCAAACAGG